GCGCUCCCUUCGGCAGCACGUGUGCGAAAAUUGGAACGAUACAGAGAAAAUUAGCAUGGCCCCUGUGCAAGAAUGAUACGCAAACUUGUGAAGCAUCCCAUAUUUUU